AGACUUUCUUUUCAACUCUUUCCCCAUGCUUUGUGUCAGAGAGCUCUGUAUCACAGAGCACAUCCCUUUACUCUCCAACAGUGCUGAGAUGCAGCAAUGUGGAACCAACCCACACACAUUUUGUUUGUAAUGUUCAUUGCUGAGGAUGACUGUCACAGGCCAUUCCCUGGGCUCCCCUCUCUAGUACGUCCUGCUGUUGCUACUUCUCUUCACAUGAUUACUUUCACUUAGCAAGCCACUUCAAACACUUUCUUUCCCCCACUCAGUCAUUAGUUAUUUCUGUUUCUCUUUAAUGCACAGAAAGUCUUAAUACCGUUGUCUGAGUAUCACUAGGGCCUAUAGUUUGUACAUAAAAAUAGGUACAUUCAUAAGCACAAGGAAAAUCUGUGGUUUGGCAGUGGGCGCAUAGCACCCUUAUUUGCUCUUUGUUUCAGCUGUGCCUUUGUAGGAGGCAUCUUAUGCCACAACUCCUUGUCCAGCCCUUGACAGAGCAUGCUCAGAGAAGCAAUCUGAAAGAGGGAGCAGCACUGAGAAAGGCCAUUAAUUACAGUCAGAAUUUCCCUUCCAGCAGGGUUGGAAUCAUGGCUAGUAAAUGGGAAAGAAACUGAACAAUGUGCAGGUGAUUUACAACAAAUCAGGUACAAAUUUAAACCAGAGUGCAAGCCAUAUGCGAUGAUGGGAGCCAAGAUACUGUCCUGUACUUUACCGUGAAGUACAUAAAUUCAGAAGACACUCAUGGAACAUGCCCAGAAAAAAAGAAAUCAUUUCUGAAUACAACUUGCAGAAGGUCCCAAGAGCCUCAUUCAGAAAUUUGGAGACAGAAUUUCAACUGCUGACUUUUUAAAUGAGUUUUCAUUAACUCGUUUCCAUUAAUCUUCGGAAUCUGAGAGUAGCUCCCUCUCAUUCAUACUCUAUACUAUAAAAAAAAAAACCCUAGGGAAAUUUAUCUUCUGUAAAUGACUCUAUUAAAGGAGCAGAACAAUAUUGCAUGAAUGAAAUGCAAGAAAAUCAGAAAUCUUUGAUUUUUCAAUGAGAAAUUAUGGUUUUCUCUGCCACUAUCCAUUUGUUUGAUGGCUUUAUUCUUAGAUAUGUAUUUGCAGCAUGGCUUUCAUGAAGACCACAUAGCUCCUUGCAAACCUAUGUUUCUUGCAUUAUGGUUUUGGUUUCUAUAUGUCUGCCAGAGGUGACAUAGAUGAAUGGAGGUAUGUAACUUUUGAGGCCAUAUAAAGAUACAGAAACUAAAAAUAGUGGUAAUUACUUGAAAAAAAAAAAAGAAAUCUCAGAAAGGUCUGAGGUUUAGUUUCUGUAAGAAUCCAGCAUGGAAGUAAUGAUGCAAAAAAUAUCAAACUACCAUGAUUAUUAUGUUUUGAAAUCUUCUUUGUUCGUUAUUCUUCAUCAAAAUAUCUAAUGUGAUAAUCAAGACCUCGUUCCUAUCCUCCAGAGAUUACAAAUUACU
rnacentral:lncRNA from 1 species